UUAUUCUGUGACUGACUUGAAUGGAACUC
rnacentral:piRNA from 1 species